rnacentral:tRNA from 1 species
GUCCCCUUCGUUUAUCGGUUAGGACAUGGCCCUUUCAAGGCCAAAAGGCGGGUUCAAUUCCCGCAGGGGAU